rnacentral:rRNA from 1 species
UGUAAGCACAUGCCUUAAAACGGUAAAGCCGCGAAUGGCUCGGUAUAACAGCCACUGUUUAUUAAACUCUAGUCAUCUACUUGGAUAACUGUGGCAAUUCUAGAGCUAAUACAUGCACGCAGGCUCGGACCUUUUGGGAAGAGCGCAUUUAUUAGACCAAAACCAAUCGGGCUUCGGCCUGUGUUUUGGUGACUCUGAAUAACUAAGUCGAUCGCACAGUCUUAGUACUGGCGACGUAUUUUUCAAAUGUCUGCCUUAUCAACUUUCGAUGGUAGGUUAUACGCCUACCAUGGUUAUAACGGGUAACGGAGAAUUAGGGUUCGACUCCGGAGAGGGAGCCUGAGAAAUGGCUACCACAUCCAAGGAAGGCAGCAGGCGCGCAAAUUACCCAAUCCCAGAACGGGGAGGUAGUGACGAAAAAUAACGAGGUAAUCCACUUUGUGGCUUGCCAUCGGAAUGGGCACAAUAUAAA